UUUGUACUCCCUCCGUUCAGAAUUACUUGUCGUAGAAAUGGAUGUAUCUAGAUGUAUUUUAGUUCUAGAUACAUCCAUUUCUGAGAAAAGUAAUUCCGAACGGAGGGAGUACUUU
rfam:Triticum urartu cultivar G1812 contig1447610, whole genome shotgun sequence.